UCCUACGGGGGGCAGCAGUAGGGAAUUUUCGUCAAUGGGCGCAAGCCUGAACGAGCAAUGCCGCGUGAACGAGGAAGGUCUUCGGAUCGUAAAGUUCUGUUGAAGGGGAAAAAGAGCGGAGAGAGGAAAUGGUCUCCGAUUGAUAUUACCCUUCGAGGAAGUCACGGCUAACCACGUGCCAGCAGCCGCGGUAAUACGUAGGUGGCGAGCGUUAUCCGGAAUGAUUGGGCGUAAAGGGUGCGUAGGCGGCCUGCUAAGUCUGGAGUGAAAGGUACCGGCUCAACCGGUACAGGCUCUGGAAACUG
rnacentral:rRNA from 1 species